GACGAACGCUGGCGGCGUGCUUAACACAUGCAAGUCGAACGGAAAGGCCCUGCUUUUGUGGGGUGCUCGAGUGGCGAAAGGGUGAGUAACACGUGAGUAACCUGCCCUUGACUUUGGGAUAACUUCAGGAAACUGGGGCUAAUACCGGAUAGGAGCUCCUGCUGCAUGGUGGGGGUUGGAAAGUUUCGGCGGUUGGGGAUGGACUCGCGGCUUAUCAGCUUGUUGGUGGGGUAGUGGCUUACCAUGGCUUUGACGGGUAGCCGGCCUGAGAGGGUGACCGGCCACAUUGGAACUGAGAUACGGCCCAGACUCCUACGGGAGGCAGCAGUGGGGAAUAUUGCACAAUGGGCGGAAGCCUGAUGCAGCAACGCCGCGUGCGGGAUGACGGCCUUCGGGUUGUAAACCGCUUUCGCCUGUGACGAAGCGUGAGUGACGGUAAUGGGUAAAGAAGCACCGGCUAACUACGUG
rnacentral:rRNA from 1 species